rnacentral:rRNA from 1 species
GAGUUUGAUCAUGGCUCAGGAUGAACGCUGGCGGCGUGCCUAAUACAUGCAAGUCGAGCGAACAGACGGGGAGCUUGCUCCCCUGACGUUAGCGGCGGACGGGUGAGUAACACGUGGGUAACCUACCUAUAAGACUGGAAUAACUCCGGGAAACCGGGGCUAAUGCCGGAUAACAUGUUGGACCGCAUGGCCCUACAGUGAAAGACGGUCUUGCUGUCACUUAUAGGUGGACCCGCGCCGUAUUAGCUAGUUGGUAAGGUAACGGCUUACCAAGGCAACGAUACGUAGCCGACCUGAGAGGGUGAUCGGCCACACUGGAACUGAGACACGGUCCAGACUCCUACGGGAGGCAGCAGUAGGGAAUCUUCCGCAAUGGGCGAAAGCCUGACGGAGCAACGCCGCGUGAGUGAUGAAGGCCUGGUCGUAG